rnacentral:rRNA from 1 species
UACGUAGGGUGCGAGCGUUGUCCGGAAUUAUUGGGCGUAAAGAGCUUGUAGGCGGUUUGUCGCGUCUGCUGUGAAAAUCCGGGGCUCAACCCCGGACUUGCAGUGGGUACGGGCAGGACUAGAGUGUGGUAGGGGAGACUGGAAUUCCUGGUGUAGCGGUGGAAUGCGCAGAUAUCAGGAGGAACACCGAUGGCGAAGGCAGGUCACUGGGCCGCAACUGACGCUGAGGAGCGAAAGCAUGGGGAGCGAACAGG